UACAGAGGGGGCAAGCGUUGUUCGGAAUUACUGGGCGUAAAGGGCGCGUAGGCGGCCUGCUAAGUCGAACGUGAAAUCCCCGGGCUCAACCCGGGAACUGCGUCCGAUACUGGCAGGCUUGAGUGUGGCAGAGGGGGGUGGAAUUCCACGUGUAGCAGUGAAAUGCGUAGAGAUGUGGAGGAACACCGAUGGCGAAGGCAGCCCCCUGGGCUAACACUGACGCUCAGGCACGAAAGCGUGGGGAGCAAACAGG
rnacentral:rRNA from 1 species